GGAAGGGUGGCUGAGUGGUCUAAAGUACCUGACUCGAAAUCAGACGUGGGGGCAACUUCACCGUGGGUUCGAAUCCCACCCCUUCCGCCA
rnacentral:tRNA from 1 species